CCUACGGGUGGCAGCAGUGAGGAAUAUUGGUCAAUGGUCGGGAGCCUGAACCAGCCAAGUCGCGUGAGGGAAGACGGUCCAAUGUAUCGUAAACCUCUUUAGGCGGGGAGCAAUGCCUGGCACGUGUGCCCGGAGGGAGCGUCCCCGAAGAAUAAGCUUCGGCUAACUCCGUGCCAGCAGCCGCGGUAAUACGGAGGAUGCGACCGUUAUCCGGUUUUAUUGGGUUUAAAGGGUGCGUAGGCGGAUUGUUAAGUCAGCGGUAAAAGGUCGGGGCUCAACCCGGGCCGGCCGUUGAAACUGGGGAUCUUGAGUGGGCGAGAAGUAUGCGGAAUGCGUGGUGUAGCGGUGAAAUGCAUAGAUAUCACGCAGAACUCCGAUUGCGAAGGCAGCAUACCGGCGCCCGACUGACGCUGAGGCACGAAAGCGUGGGGAUCGAACAGGAUUAGAUACCCGAGUAGUC
rnacentral:rRNA from 1 species